ACUGACAGAAGCAUGAAGCCACCACCAAGACUUAAACAUGGUGGUCACUGGAACCUCCAUCUCCUUUUUCUGUUUCUGCCUGGUACCAAGCAGUUUAAUCCUGCCUUAUCCCCAGUGAUCCCCAUGAGGUCCCUCAGGCUGAUUCUCUAGGUUAAUAUGGUGGAGAUCAUGCUUACUGUAGUAGAGAAAGGAGGUGACAAGCUGAAUCCAGUGGCAGUGUUGGAAAGCUUCCCGAAUCACACUUGACCCAGGCUUCUCCAGAGAAGAUGGACAGAGGGAAAGGAGGUGCUGGCACCAGGAAAACCUGGGCUAUCCACAGGCAUGAUUACUGAUCAGCACAUGCACCUUGGUGGUCCUUUGCUCCUGGGAGGUCAUCUUAUUGAUGCAGAACUUAGGGCUGACAGUCAUCAGCAUAGAGGACCACCGUCUUGAAUUCCUGGGCUCCAGUGAUCCUUUUGCCUGAACCAACCAAGCAGAUGGGAUUAUGAUGUAUGCCACCAUACCUGGUUCAAAAAAUUAUCUUUAAAAUGCUGAUAAACACACACUUAUGAUAAUAAUAACAAUAACAACAACAACAUAAGCAAUGUUACUAACACGUAAGGGACUAGAAAGUUCUCCCAGACAGAAGGGUGAAGAGUCAGCUGUAAAGAUAAAAAUUUCUUUUGAAACUGUGUCCUAGAACCCUUCUAGUCACUUGCAGUCACUUGCUGAGUAAACAAGUGUGAUUUCCAUGUAUCCUGGUCACACUGAGGGAAGAGAUUGCUGGGAAGUAGCCAGUUCUCAAUGGGGAGUAUGUAAAGAGGAAAGAAAACAGAAGUUAGGGCUUUUAAGAAUACUUAAAAUUGCUUCCUUGUUUUUGAUUUUUUAAAAUUUCCAUUUCUAAACAUAAUUGAUAUUACUUGAACCCUGCUGCUCUCUUUGAUUAAAGGAGAAAAGAUUAAUUGCUGCACUUUGCACCUCACUAGAUACUUCCUGGGAUAUCCUGUUUUCUCUUAACUAGUUAUUUAAUAAUCCAAUUAAAAAUCAGUAGAAUUAUGAGUUAUGUAGGAUAAAGUCUGAAGAAGUCUUGAAUUUGCUUUAAAAUACUUUACCAACAAAAAGAAAGAAGAAGAGGGUAAGAUGAAGCCAGAAUGGUAAAAUGAUAAUUUUUAAUCUGAGGGGUGCACGUAUAAGUAUUCAUUAUACUAAUCUCUCUACUUUUGUAAAUGUUUGAAAUUUUUACAUAAUAAGAUUAAAAGAAAUAGUUACAUAGAAGGCAAUUUCAAGGUCUUAUUUUUAUUUAUUAAUAAUAUUCAUUAAUUAAUUAAUUUGUAGUGCUGGGAAUGGAACAUAGGGGCCUUGUACAUGUGAGACCAGGGCUCUACCACUGAUAACUAUUCUUUUUCUUUUGAACUCUAUUUCCAAAAUUCUUCACUAGCUCUUUCCCACAACUCACCAAACUCUUCUUGCCCUCAUACCUCAGUCUUAGAGUUAGCCUUAAACACACUUUUUCUUCACACUGUUAUUCUUUUAUUGAUGUACUUGAAUGAAAAAAAAAAAAAAAAGUUAUGUAGGAUUCAAGAGAAAAGGACUCUUAGAUCAAAAAGAAUCUAAGAAGAACAAACACCAGGGAUGAUGGUAAGCAAAGACGGAAGACAAAGGAAUGAGCUCUCUUCUAUGUGCCAAGGCAGUAUUAUGGGUAUUUUACACGUAAUAAGUAAGACAUUCUAGACGGUCUCCCUUCCCCUUCCUCCUCCUCCUGCUCCUCCUCCUCUGGUUUUAUUUUCCAGGGCUGGGAAUCAAAUUCAGGGCUUUAAGUAUGCCCGGGGAAGUUCUCUACCACUAAGCCACACCCAGCCCACUUCUUUAUUUCUUGGAGAGUCACUAGAAGAGUCCUUUACUUUUCUUUCUAUAAAUUUAAGGCAGGCAGAAGCCCUUACUCUGUAAGGAGGGUACAGCAAAGGUCCAUCCUGACUCCAUCAUGGUUUUCACUCACUGAGGGUGUAAAGCUGGCUACUGGGGCCAAGGUAGAUUGAUUUGCCUAAGGAGCUGACAGCUUUCUGGGAGAGGAAAAAAAAAUCCUAAAUAUUCUCUACAGAGAUAUCAUACUCCCUCUUUUAGACAUGAAAUUAGAGAAUAAUGCUGAGACAGAAAAGGUAGGCUCUUUCACCCAAGGACCAGUGGUAGGAAUGGGCAGUAUGUCUCCUAAGAUUACUGUAGAGAAAGUUUAUCCCUACUGGUAACUCUAAAUCAUGGCACUCAAACCAUGCAAAACUAAGUAGAAUAAUAAAUAUUUUUCUACUCUUUUUCAACAUAAAGAAUUAAUUAGACCAGGUGUUCAAUCCCAGCAACUCAGGAAACUGAGGCAGGAAGUUGGCAAUUUGAGGCCAGUUUAGGAAACGUAGUGAAAUCCUGCCUCAGAAUAAAAAACAGAAAGGGUUGGGAA